rnacentral:lncRNA from 1 species
AACUUCUCAAUCACUGAAAUAGCCUUGUAAUAGCUAAAAGAUCUCCGGUCAUCACCCAAUGCUUUCAACAGCAUUAACACAAUAAGCAAGAGCUUUAGAAUGGCCGAAAAUAAAGAAAUAAAAAAAGACAACAAUAUGUAGGAGUUAUAUGAGCCUUAUACCUCUAUAUAUGUUCACAAGUUUCUUGAAUAUCUCUGUAAUGUUCUUGUUUAGAUCAGGCGGGCAGUACGGCAAGGUUGACUGCAGUGCACUCACCAUGAUAGAUGAGUUUCAACAAGGCAUAAAAAUUAGAGUAUGAGAUUAAAAAUUAACUACAUUUCAUAAAUGCAUAAUGCAUGUACUUCAAAGCCAUUAUCAUUAAUUUCUCUCCAAUCUAUAAUCUAUAACUGAUCAUAAUUAGGCAGCACUAAAUUUUGAGAAAAAUAUAAAAAAAAAUUGUCAAAAGUUUAUUCUAUUCAGAAGGGCCAGAAGAAAAUUUUGGAUGAAAAAUAUUUAAAGCAAAUAAUCUUCAAACUGUAAGGAUAUAGAUCUCACUGCCUCGUUUUCAGCAUCACGGUGUUGUGGUCUUCUGUCAGCAUAAUUUAAAUUCUCGACUUCACCGUCUCUGCUUGCCAUGCUUGUUGAUGAAAGU